UGACCUCACUUUUUCAAACUCUGUGCACUUCUAAUGGGGGGGCCCAGGAAAGGCGACUGGAAUGCGUGCCCCGCCCGUUUUAUUAAACAUUUAAAGUCAAUUGUAUGGGAUAAAGAAAUGAUAUAACAAAUAAAAACUUUCAACAACGGAUCUCUUGGCUCUCGCAUCGAUGAAGAACGCAGCGAAAUCUGAUAAGUAAUGUGAAUUGCAGAAUUCAGUGAAUCAUCGAAUCUUUGAACGCAUCUUGCGCUCGCUGGUAUUCCGGCGAGCAUGUCUGUUUGAGUGUCGUGAACUCUUCAACCCCCCCUUUUUCUUAUGGAGAUUGGGGCGCGGCUUGGUUUCUGAACGUUUGCUGGACUGGGAUUCCUUUCGGGGGAUUCUAACGUCGGAGCUCGUUCGUAAUGCAUUAGCAUCCUAACCUUCGAGAUCAGAUUGACUCGGCGUAAUAGACUAUUCGCUGAGGACAUGGCAUCCCUUUACUGGGGUGUGAUGGCUG
rnacentral:rRNA from 1 species